AUAGUUCUCCUCCUUCUCAAAAGCCCGUCACCUCCCCACAAUUACAUAUUGCCCUAGCUUCUUUCCUGCCUCCUCCUUUUCCUUCCUUUCUCAUUUCUUCCUCUCUUCCCUCAUUUUCUUGCCCAUUCCCUUCCUUCUUCCCUCUUCCCUCUUCAGAGUAAAAACAAAUUCCUCUUUUUAUUCUUUCCACAACUUAGUCAUUUGUGUGUGUGUGCGUGUGUGGCCUUGGCUCUUGAUAGCUUCAAAAUGUCUUCUUCUCCCAGUGACUUAUGAACGUAUUUUCUUACACACAGGCAGUAUCCUCUCUAUGAAUUCCUUUCCUUUUUGUUCUCCUGUAAUGUCCAACCUAAAUGCCAUCUCUCCCUUUCCUACACCCAGACAUCUGAUUCUACACCCUGACUCUCCAUCCCACUUACCAACCCCCAGUCAAUGGUUUGUGUGUUUCUUGCUUAGCUAUUUAAGCUUAAUUGUCUGGUGUGCCCUAAAGCUGAAAUUUCUCUAUUUUUCAUGUCUAGUACCAGGUUUUAGUUUUAGUAGGUGUUUAAUAACUACUAAAGUAAAUCUGAAAAAGUAACCAAAGCUGGGAAGUCACUAAAUACUCACUCAGUAAUCACAGCGAAAUUGAACUCUGUAGCCUUGUAAAACACUUGUCUGCAUAUUACCGUGAAAGGAGGAAAUUACUGGGAUUAAUAUUUCAAAGACAACAGUAGUCCCUUAGUAGGGAAAAUAUAUCAGAUGAUAGCCAGGAAAAUGCAUUAUAUAAAUCCUCAUUCCCAGUAAAAUGUAAUUCAGCCUUGACCAAAAUAUAUAAGUAACUCAUCCUUGAUUAUAAAUUCAUGGUUAACUGAUAAGAAUCUGAGAGGUUUCUUUAGAUACCUCUUAAAAUAUCUAAAGAAUUCAGCGAUGCUGAGUAGGAUCUAGAUAAAAACUAUCUGGCAGAAAAGCUUUGUCUCACAAGGUGUUACCUACCUGCUUUUAGGACAGCUUGGCACAUAGUAGGAGAUGAAGUGCUUGAUGAUUGACUGAAAUGUACAAGGAGAAAUGUACAAGACUACACCACGGGUGGCAGAGAUAUUGAACACAGCCUGUCACCUUGCCCUGUAAGAUCUCUGGCUGUGUAUCCACUUUUUGAGCAAGAGACUUGAGUUCAGAAGACCUGAAUUUUAAUCUCUCAGCUCUGCUAUAAAUGUGGGAUCCUCAGUAAGUAAUUUUACUUCUCUGGACUUGGUUUUAUCACCUGUAAAAUGAAAACCGUGGGCUUAAUAGAUCUCUCAUAUAGGCUUGAGUUGCUUGUAUGACUGUCUGUAGUUGUUUUUAGAAAAGUAAUGACAAGUACAUGGAAAUAAAUAUUCAAAUACUGUAGAGGGCAGGUAAUAAGGAAAUGUCAUCUUUCCUGUGCCCUGACUCCCAGGUCUUUCUCCCAGGUCUUAGAGUAAGCCCCUUUGGCUAAUUCUGUCUUAUUCCUCUAAAUAAUAUGUUAAGUCUCUGUUUCUUCAUUUGUUAAUCUACACAAUACCAUUUGUCUUUGUAUUAUUCAAGGUAAGAAAUUUAGCAUACUACCAUCAAUAUUUUAAUUUUAGAUAUAUAUUUUUAUGAUUUACAUCCAUUUCUUUUAUUACUUAAAUAGAAUUAAAGCACUAUUUCUUAACCCAUCAGUUUUAAGUAGUAUUCCUGACUCUCUUUGCUUUCUUCCACUUCUCCUCCCCCUUAUAUUUCCUAGCUUCUGUCAGUUAAAUCAUCACUUUUAUAUUGUCCAAAGUUAUAAUAUUUAAAUUCUCUUUUAUAACUCUGGUUGUCUUAAGUGCUGUAACUAUAGGUUAAUUCUGAAAAUUGAAAGUCAAUACAGUAUCAUUAUGUGAAUAUUAUUUACUGCAAAACUACGAAAUAUGCCUGGACGUGCAGAUGACAAGGUAGUCCUGUUUCACCAAACCUGGGCCACUUGAACAAGAAUGCUCCAAGCAUUGAAGUCACAUUAAUUCUCUUAUUAUACUCCACAAGUUGCUCAAAAUCAUUCUACAUUUUUAGCUGGCUUCGUAUUGUGAAUGGCUUUAAUUUUCAAAUACCCUCAAACUUGAAAUUUAGAUUGGUAGUUCUCAAACUUGACUGUACAUUGGAAUUACUGAGGGAGCUUUAAGAAAUCUAAUAGUUAGAGGAUCCCAAGUCUAGGGUUUCUGAUUUAAUUGAGCUGGGGUGUGGCCUGAGCAUCUCAGUUUUUAAAAUUUUGCGGCUUGAUUCCAAUGACUAGCAAGAGUUGAAGACCUUUACUGUUGAAACCCAGUCAUGUCUAGUAGAGUCAAAAGUAAUGAAAUACACUGAGUCUUUGGACAGCAAGAGCAGAAAAGUGAAACCCGAUAGCAGCUGAAGGUUUAUAGAAUAUUUAUUUCUUUUUUGGUUGCAGCUAUCUCCUUCCCAACCUACCACUGCUAAGACUGUUUCAUAAGAUGCACUUCUCUACACUCAGCUAAUGAGGUGUUUCAAUCAGCAGUUGUUCUUUGGAUGAGGAGCCGAUAUUGUUUUAAAGCCUAUUAUUUUCUUGGGUGGGUAUUCUGGAGCAUGGGGAGCUGAAAGUGUUGCAAGGAAACUGCUGUGUGAAAUUUGAUCAGGUCCUUGGUAUUCAUUUUUAUGUUUCAAUAACUGAUUUAUUUUUUCCCCCUUGUACUUAAGAUUUAACAUGUGUUGUAUUUCCAGCAGUUCAAAUCUAAUUGUGUCGAAUUUCCAGGAUUGGAGGAAAAGUUGCUCCCUUUCAGCCCUCCUACUAGAAGCACUGGAGCUAGGCUGGCGGGCAUUGGACCCUAGUAGGUAUAGCAGGCUGUGAAGAGCGACUGGGUGGAAGCAGCCCCAGAAGAACCCGUGUGAACAUACUGUCCUUUGGCCGCCUGGCAGUUAGCCUAGAAGACAAAUAUGAGAGAGGAGACUGGUUAGAGUAAAUGUGACCCCACCUUGACCCUGUCUGCCUCUCAUGGGAAACCAGUCAAACCUUCACUCAGAUUUUCUUCUUUUUACAGCAAUGUUGCUGAAUAUUGCUGGGGAUACCAUCCCCUUCUAUAAAGUAUCUCCCCUUUUUAUCCCAGUUUUCUGAGCAUUUCUUUGGUAAGCUUGAGGUUUGUGUCAGUUACUGGGGAAAUCUCUGUUCAGUACCAACAAUAUUGCAGCAACAGUACUAGAAACUAAAGUUGAAAAAUUUCUCACUAGUAUAGUACACUAUACCAAAAGAAAAACAUGUUUAUUUUAAAAACAUUUCCAUUUUCUACCUAUAUUGGUCUAGAAGAAUAUGUAAUUUUUAUUUAGUUAUUGUAGUAUCAUUUGCUUUCCUGUAUACAUUCCAGUUAAAGAUAAAUUCAGAAUUAUGAAACUUACGACAAUAUUUGAAUGUCACUCAGUGGUACCACUUCUUCCAGUCAGUGUUGCUAUUGUCUGUUCUCUCCAGGACUUAUUUCUACAUUUUACAUCAAUGGUUCUCCAACUGUGUUUCAUGGUCUACCAGCAUCCCUUAGGAACAUGUUAAAAAUAGAAAUUCCCUGGCCUUACCCCUGACCUACUGAAUUAGAAACUCAGUGGGUGAGACCCAUAAUCUGCAUUUUUAACAAGCGCUUCAAGUGGGGGUAGGGGAAAUGAAAAGAGGUUGGUAAUGGGUACAAAAAUACAGUUAGGCAGAAGGAAUAAGUUCUAGUGUUUGAUACAACAGUAAGAUGACUAUAGUUAACAAUGAUUUAUUACAUAUUUUAAAAUAGCUGGAAGAGAAGAUUUGGAAUGUUCCAAACCCAAAGAAAUAAUAAAUAUUUGGAGUG
rnacentral:lncRNA from 1 species